AAUAUAGUGCCUGAAUUUUUAAGGAUAGCUUUGAUAGAGCUAAUCAUGUAGAACCCUACCUAUAUUA
rnacentral:tRNA from 1 species